rnacentral:rRNA from 1 species
GACGAACGCUGGCGGCGUGCUUAACACAUGCAAGUCGAACGGAAAGGCCCCUUUUUGGGUGCUCGAUUGGCUAACGGGUGAGUAAGUCGUGAGUAACCUACCCUUGACUUCGUGAUAACUUCAUGAAACUGGGGCUAAUACCUGCUAGAAAUGCUUUCUUCCUGGUGGGGGGUGGAAGGCUUCCGUGGUUUGGGAUGGAAUCGCGGCCUAUCAAUUUGUUGGUUGGGGGGUGGCUUACCAACGCUUUGACGGGUAGGCGGCCUGAGAGGGCGACCGGCCACAAUGGGACUGAGAUACGGCCCAGACUCCUACGGGAGGCAGCAGGGGGGAAAAUUGCAACAUGGGCGGAAGCCUGAUGCAGCCACGCCGCGGGCGGGAUGACGGCCUUCGGGUUGUAAACCGCUUUCAGCAGGGGCGAAGCUUGUGGUGACGGUACCUGCAGAAGAAGCACCGGCUAACUACGUG